rnacentral:rRNA from 1 species
CAGCCGCCACGGUAAUACGAAGGGGGCUAGCGUUGCUCGGAAUUACUGGGCGUAAAGGGAGCGUAGGCGGAUCGUUUAGUCAGGGGUGAAAUCCCGGGGCUCAACCUCGGAACUGCCUUUGAUACUGGCGAUCUUGAGUAUGGGAGAGGUGUGUGGAACUCCGAGUGUAGAGGUGAAAUUCGUAGAUAUUCGGAAGAACACCAGUGGCGAAGGCGACUCACUGGCCCGUUACUGACGCUGAGGCGCGAAAGCGUGGGGAGCAAACAGGAUUAGAUACCCGAGUAGUCCCUGUCUCUUAUAC